UACGAAGGGGGCUAGCGUUGUUCGGAGUUACUGGGCGUAAAGGGCGCGUAGGCGGCGCACCAAGUCAGGCGUGAAAGCCCUGGGCUCAACCCGGGAAUUGCGCUUGAGACUGGUGUGCUUGAGUACGGGAGAGGAUAGUGGAAUUCCCAGUGUAGAGGUGAAAUUCGUAGAUAUUGGGAAGAACACCGGUGGCGAAGGCGGCUAUCUGGACCGUAACUGACGCUGAGGCGCGAAAGCGUGGGGAGCAAACAGGG
rnacentral:rRNA from 1 species